rnacentral:rRNA from 1 species
UACGAAGGGUGCUAGCGUUAUUCGGAAUUACUGGGCGUAAAGCGCGCGCAGGCGGCUUAGCAAGUUGGGAGUGAAAUCCCUGGGCUCAACCCAGGAAUUGCUUUCAAAACUAUUAAGCUUGAGUAUGAUAGAGGACAGUGGAAUUCCUAGUGUAGAGGUGAAAUUCGUAGAUAUUAGGAGGAACACCAGUGGCGAAAGCGGCUCACUGGUCCGGUACUGACGCUGAGGUGCGAAAGCGUGGGGAGCAAACAGG